ACGGACUGGUCGGGGACAGAUUAACAGGAUUAGAUACCCUGGUAGUCCACGCCCUAAACGAUGUCUACUAGUUGUCGGGUCUUAAUUGACUUGGUAACGCAGCUAACGCGUGAAGUAGACCGCCUGGGGAGUACGGUCGCAAGAUUAAAACUCAAAGGAAUUGACGGGGACCCGCACAAGCGGUGGAUGAUGUGGAUUAAUUCGAUGCAACGCGAAAAACCUUACCUACCCUUGACAUGGAAGGAAUCCCGGAGAGAUUCGGGAGUGCUCGAAAGAGAACCUUCACACAGGUGCUGCAUGGCUGUCGUCAGCUCGUGUCGUGAGAUGUUGGGUUAAGUCCCGCAACGAGCGCAACCCUUGCCAUUAGUUGCUACAUUCAGUUGAGCACUCUAAUGGGACUGCCGGUGACAAACCGGAGGAAGGUGGGGAUGACGUCAAGUCCUCAUGGCCCUUAUGGGUAGGGCUUCACACGUCAUACAAUGGUACAUACAGAGGGCUGCCAACCCGCGAGGGGGAGCUAAUCCCAGAAAGUGUAUCGUAGUCCGGAUUGUAGUCUGCAACUCGACUACAUGAAGUUGGAAUCGCUAGUAAUCGCGGAUCAGCAUGUCGCGGUGAAUACGUUCCCGGGUCUUGUACACACCGCCCGUCACACCAUGGGAGCGGGUUUUACCAGAAGUGGGUAGCCUAACCGCAAGGAGGGCGCUUACCACGGUAGGAUUCGUGACUGGGGUGAAGUCGUAACAAGGUAACCAAUC
rnacentral:rRNA from 1 species